GCCAGGUGCAGCCUGUGGAGAGGGAACACGUGGCAGUGUGGACGGAGGGGUGAGAGAAGACAGCGGCCUUUGGGGGUUUGCUCCGAAAACCUUGGUGGCAAACCUGGGGUAGAGAAGGGGCGUGUGGGAGGAAGACACGUCCACAGCCUGACGGUGGACACCUGUGAGGAGGGGUGUGAGUGCUUCCGGGGCACACCUCAGGUGGGGGCUGUGAAAAUAAAGGUUGCUGAAGACGGACAGCAGCAGAAGACCGAUGGGGGCAAAGAGACUGAAAUAAGGCCACCCGGGAGAGCGCGUGAGCACAGGCACGAGGAAGGGAGCAGUCACAUCUUUCCCAGAGCAGCCAGGGUUGAUUGACCCUUUCGCAGAGGCUGCUGUUGAGCCCAUUGUCGGCCAGCGCGGCCCCCAAGGACACAGACAGCCGCUGCAAGAGCAUAAAGGAGUUUAUUCCAGGCUCGAGUCCGGGCUCCCGACCGCCACCGUUACAUCGCUUCCCCUCCCCUUGGGAAGAAAAAAAAAGCUGGCGCCCACCGGUUUCCCUGUAGACCCUUCCCCCUCGCCCUAAGGAAAACAAGCUGGCGAUCACCCGUCUCUGUGCCUUGACACCUUCCCCUUCCCUUAAGAUGAAGGAGCUGACACCCAUCCAUCUCCCUGUUGAGCUGGCGCCCACUUGUCUCUGUGCGGACCCCUUCCCCCUCCCCUUCGCGGACCUCUACCCAUCUCCCCCUGUAUAAAUACCCCUGCCCGCUGCCAAAGAGGAGGACGGUGGUUUUUCGGACAUGAGUCUGCCUCCCUCCUCAUUUGUCGACAAAUAAAACCGCUUUCCUUUUCCUCAAACUUAGUUUCCUUUUAUUGGCUGAGGGAAACUGAGGCCGACGUUCAGUAACAAUUUUGGCGAGCCAGCCAGGAGGUGGAUGCCACUUUGGCUCUCCCAACCCCAACUCUGACUUCCAACUGACGGAGCUGUUGCCUGCUGCAGCGCACCGGGGCUCACCUAUCUAUGCUGGUCUGUGCUGUCAGAGAGGGGCCUGGGCAUCCCGGGUGGCAUCCUGACCCUCCUGCUGCGAGGGAGCGCCCUCUCUCCAGGAGGACGAGGGAGAGUCCCAGCAGCUGCCGGAGUUCUUUUUCCUCCGGGGAACUUCCCAAGUCCUCCUCGGGAGAGGCACAGCUCUUCUCUGCACCCUGGAUUUACCUUUGAGGAGAUGGAAACUGGAUGGAAAACCGCGGUCCCCUGGCGUUUGGUGUAAGUUCUCCUGGCGUGCACGCCAAGACCUUGGCCUUCACACAUUCGGGAGGAAUCUGAGUCCCCUCGCGGAGGGAGUUCAGGUCUCCUCAUUUGGGAGGGAGUCUAUGAGUCUCCCUCAAUUUGGAGUGCUCUUUGGUGUGUUAGGCCCGGUUGAGUGGGAAUUGGGAAACAUUUGGUGUUUUUUUCACUUGAUAUCUAUUUGGUAUUUGGUAUUUGGAGUUUCCCGUUUGUUUUUGGAAGCCAGGGAUUUAGUUAAACUUAUGAGAGGUGCCGUAUUUGUUCCAUCUAAAAGCCCCUUGGGGAAAAUAUUAACUGAGUGGUCGGCCUGUAGCUACAAACCUAUGUCUAAGAAGCAACCCCUAUCACGGUUUCCCUGCAGGAGCCCAGGAAAAACUGAUUGUGGGGAACAGACUGAUUUUUUUUUAGCACAAGAGCCAGGCAAUAUACUCUCCUUUUCCACAUUGGCUGGCUCACCUGUGAGCUCCUUUUAUCUAUGCUCUGCUAAAAUCUUACCCUGACAUUCAGUGUCAGUCCAGAUGCUUUGGCUUUAGGCAACCUAAGAUUAUUCUGACUCUUCUAGGACAUUGGCAGAUGGCUGGAAGGACUGUAAUUGUUCCAGAGAGAAAACUGGGCUUGGACCAGGACUUCUACUUGAUGUUGUUUUUUGGAGUUAGUGGGUCUGGAGUGCAGGGUCUUUGGGUUCACUAUGGGAAAGGUGUUGCCAGAGCUCCUGUUUCAGGGACCUGCAGCAAGCUUCCCAGGCCAGUUUCUCCACGAGACAGAGACAUUAGUUAUAUUGAA